UACGGAGGGUGCAAGCGUUAUCCGGAUUCACUGGGUUUAAAGGGUGCGUAGGUGGGUUGGUAAGUCAGUGGUGAAAUCUCCGAGCUUAACUUGGAAACUGCCAUUGAUACUAUCAGUCUUGAAUAUUGUGGAGGUCAGCGGAAUAUGUCAUGUAGCGGUGAAAUGCUUAGAUAUGACAUAGAACACCAAUUGCGAAGGCAGCUUACUAAAGUAUGAUUGACGCUGAGGCACGAAAGCGUGGGGAUCAAACAGG
rnacentral:rRNA from 1 species